GGGUAUGGUAGCAACUAGAAACGUCAAGUUCGUUGUGCUCGAUGGAUGUGCAACGACGGAAACGAAAUAAAUAAAAGCGGUGGCCUCAUAAGGAGGUCGCGUAUUAACGGGAAUGGAGCUGCUGGAGCCGCUUGUCCACGGGGAUGAGCAGCAACCCGUCCACGAUUCGGAGCUACCACCCAUCGAUUGUGCGGAGAAACAAUACGUUCACGAUGUGGAGCAACUAACCAUCCAUGGGGGGGGAGCAACAACACGUCCAUGGGGCGGACCAACUACCCAUCCAUCGUGCGGAACAACAACAUGUCCAAGGUGUGGAGCAAUCACCCAUCCACGGGGCGGAGCAGCAACUGCAACUCGUUCAAGGGGCGGGGCAGCUCGCCAUAGUUCCCUUGCCUGAGGAUUUCGGGGAAUCUCUAAAACACCUGAAUAUUCCUGAUAUGCUUCAUGGUGGUCAGGUGGGUGAAGAUCCUGGCCCUCCAUCACAGGGGGAGAACGAGAGGCCCGUUGUGUAGGUUAACUUCUGGGUUUGCCAUAGGGGAGAGGCAAGAAAGGCUGUAAUUAAAAAAAAUGCAUUUUAUUACUUUCUGGCCUCUUUACCCAACAAAAAAAGACGGAAACGUAACUAAACUUACCAAAGUUUAGAUGUGGGGGCCUGAAGGGGGGGGGGGGGUACCUGAAAUUUAAAAAGAAAAGAAACAUUUCAAAUAAAUUUAUUGCGAUAAUUUUUGUCAAGUGUCCAAUCCCCCGAAGUACAAUAAAAAUUAAAAAAAAAAACAGAAAUAAGCAAAUAAUACUUUUAAAAAAACUAUACUUGAAACUUGAAAGUUAAUGGUAAGGCUGGGGAAGACCAGGACUGGUGGUGUUUUAUUCCU